UUUCCGUAGGUGAACCUGCGGAAGGAUCAUUCAUAAUAAGUGUUUUAUGGCACUUUUUUAAAUCCAUAUCCACCUUGUGUGCAAUGUCAGAGUUGAUUUUUCUCUCGAGAGGAUCAACCCCAAACAUCAACUAUAUCUCAACUCUUUGUCUGAAAAAUAUUAUGAAUAAGACAAUUCAAAAUACAACUUUCAACAACGGAUCUCUUGGCUCUC
rnacentral:misc_RNA from 1 species